GACGAACCGUGCGAACGUUGUUCGGAAUCACUGGGCUUAAAGGGCGCGUAGGCGGGCUGCCAAGUCUGGGGUGAAAUCCCACGGCUCAACCGUGGAACUGCCUCGGAUACUGGCGGCCUCGAGGGAGGUAGGGGCAUGCGGAACUGUGGGUGGAGCGGUGAAAUGCGUUGAUAUCCACAGGAACUCCGGUGGCGAAAGCGGCGUGCUGGACCUCUUCUGACGCUGAGGCGCGAAAGCUAGGGGAGCAAACGGG
rnacentral:rRNA from 1 species